rnacentral:rRNA from 1 species
AACGAACGCUGGCGGCAGGCUUAACACAUGCAAGUCGAGCGCCCCGCAAGGGGAGCGGCAGACGGGUGAGUAACGCGUGGGAAUCUACCGAGCCCUAAGGAAUAGCUCCGGGAAACUGGAAUUAAUACCUUAUACGCCUUUUGGGCGGAAGAUUUAUCGGGGUUUGAUGGGGCCGCGUUGGAUUAGCUAGUUGGUGGGGUAAAGGCCUACCAAGGCGACGAUCCAUAGCUGGUCUGAGAGGAUGAUCAGCCACAUUGGGACUGAGACACGGCCCAAACUCCUACGGGAGGCAGCAGUGGGGAAUAUUGGACAAUGGGCGCAAGCCUGAUCCAGCCAUGCCGCGUGAGUGAUGAAGGCCCUAGGGUUGUAAAGCUCUUUCACCGGUGAAGAUAAUGACGGUAACCGGAGAAGAAGCCCCGGCUAACUUCGUGCCAGCCGCCGACGUAAAAC